UACGGGGGGGGCAAGCGUUGUUCGGAAUUACUGGGCGUAAAGGGCUCGUAGGCGGCCAACUAAGUCGGCCGUGAAAUCCCCAGGCUCAACCUGGGAACUGCGUCCGAUACUGGAUGGCUUGAAUUCGGGAGAGGGAUGCAGAAUUCCAGGUGUAGCGGUGAAAUGCGUAGAUAUCUGGAGGAAUACCGGUGGCGAAGGCGGCAUCCUGGACCGACAUUGACGCUGAGGAGCGAAAGCUAGGGGAGCAAACGGG
rnacentral:rRNA from 1 species